rnacentral:lncRNA from 1 species
ACAGCACCCCAUGAUUCUGGUUACAUACAGCUCCAGUCUCUGGUAGAAUUGGCUGAUGCUUCCAUGGUAAGCUCAUCUGGACAAAGACCUAGCACACUCACUAUCUCUCUCUGUCUGUCUCUCUCUUCCUCUCUCCCUCCCUAUCCAAUCUCAGUCUGUUUCUCUCUUUCUCUCCCCCCUCACACCACCCCAUCUAACUCUCCCUCCCUCCCUCUCUCCAUUCCCUGUCACACUCUCUCUUAAGCUCUGUCUGUGUCUUCCUCCCUCCCUCCCACCAAUCUUCCUUCCCUCCUCCAUCUUUCUGCCUCUCUUCCACUCUCUCCAUGCCUCUCUCGCUCCCUCCCUCCCUUUCUCUCUGUCUCUCUCUCUCUCGAUCUCUCUGUCUCUCUCUAUCUGCCUUUCUCUGUCUGUCUCAAUCUCUCUCUCUCUCUCUCUCUCUCUCUCUCUCUCUCUCUCUCUCUCUCUCUCUCUCUCCCUCUCUCUCUCUCCCCUCCCUCCCCUCCCUCCUCUGCCUUUCUCUCUCUCCCUCCCUUUCUUCCUCCCUCUCCCCUCCAUCUCUUUCUCUAUCUCCCUCUCUCAUUCUCUCCCUCCCCUCUCUCUGUCUCUGUCUCUCCCUCUCUCCCUGUCACAGUCUCCCUCUCUCCCUGUCUCAGUCUCCAUCUCUCCCUCUCUCCCUCUCUCUCUCUCUCUUUCGUUCUUCCUUUCUUUCUCUUUCUUUCUUUCUUUCUUUCUUUCUUUCUUUCUUUCUUUCUUUCUUUCUUUCUUUCUUUCUUUCUUUCUUUCUUUCUUUCUUUCUUUCUUUCUUUCUUUCUUUCUCUCUUUCUCUCUUUCUCUCUUUCUCUCUUUCUCUCUUUCUCUCUUUCUCUCUUUCUCUCUUUCUCUCUUUCUCUCUUUCUCUCUUUCUCUCUUUCUCUCUUUCUUUGUCUCUCUUUCUUUCUCUCUUUCUUUCUCUCUUUCUUUCUUUCUCUCUUUCUCUCUUUCUUUCUCUCUUUCUUUCUCUCUUUCUUUCUCUCUUUCUUUCUUUCUUUCUUUCUCUCUUUCUUUCUUUGUUUCUUUCUUUCUUUCUUUCUUUCUUUCUUUCUUUCUUUCUUUCUUGCUUUCUUUCUUACUUGCUUUCUUUCUUUCUUUCUUUCUUUCUUGCUUUCUUUCUUUCU